rnacentral:rRNA from 1 species
CCUACGGGCGGCAGCAGUGGGGGAUAUUGCACAAUGGGGGAAACCCUGAUGCAGCGACGCCGCGUGUGGGAAGACGGUCCUCUGGAUUGUAAACCACUGUCCCCAGGGACGAAGAUGACGGUACCUGGGGAGGAAGCUCCGGCCAACUACGUGCCAGCAGCCGCGGUAAUACGUAGGGAGCGAGCGUUGUCCGGAAUUACUGGGUGUAAGGGGAGCGUAGGCGGGACUGCAAGUUGGGUGUAAAAUCUACCGGCUCAACCGGUAGCCGCACUGAAAACUGCAGUUCUUGAGUGAAGUAGAGGCAGGCGGAAUUCCUAGUGUAGCGGUGAAAUGCGUAGAUAUUAGGAGGAACACCAGUGGCGAAGGCGGCCUGCUGGGCUUUUACUGACGCUGAGGCUCGAAAGUGUGGGGAGCAAACAGGAUUAGAUACCCCAGUAGUC